UACAGAGGGUGCAAGCGUUGUUCGGAAUUAUUGGGCGUAAAGGGAGUGUAGGCGGUUUGCUAAGUCUUCUGUGAAAUCUACGGGCUCAGCCUGUAACGUGCAGAGGAAACUGACAGACUUGAGUGUCGGAGAGGAUAGUGGAAUUCCCGGUGUAGAGGUGAAAUUCGUAGAUAUUCGCAAGAACACCAGUGGCGAAGGCGGCUCACUGGCCCGAUACUGACGCUGAGGCACGAAAGCGUGGGGAGCAAACAGG
rnacentral:rRNA from 1 species